rnacentral:rRNA from 1 species
UACGAGGGGGGCAAGCGUUGUCCGGAAUUAUUGGGCGUAAAGAGCUCGUAGGCGGUUUGUCGCGUCGGCUGUGAAAGCCCGGAGCUCAACUCCGGGUCUGCAGUCGAUACGGGCAGACUUGAGUGUUGCAGGGGAGACUGGAAUUCCUGGUGUAGCGGUGAAAUGCGCAGAUAUCAGGAGGAACACCGGUGGCGAAGGCGGGUCUCUGGGCAACAACUGACGCUGAGGAGCGAAAGCGUGGGGAGCGAACAGG